rnacentral:hammerhead_ribozyme from 1 species
UCCUGGAUGACGAGUCCUAUAUAGGACGAAAUGCGCAUCCUGGAU